UGGUAGUCCUUGGCUCCGGAGCUCCAGGAUACCUUUCCACCUGAGCUGUAUAACACUCAGUGCUCUGUGACUCCUGAGUGUCAGAAUACCUGACCCAUCCGGAUCCGCCAGAAAUGCCUAGGAGGCCGAGUAGCUCCCUCUCUCUUCCUGCUGCCUGCCAUUCCAGAUGUGGAACUCCCAGCUACCUCUCUAGCACCGUGUCUACUUGUGUCCCACCGUGAUGACAGUGAACUAAACCUCUGAACUAAUGGCUCUGGGAACUUUAUGUGAUAAAUAAUGGCCUGUCAGAUUGGAUUUUCACUUAAUCUUGGGGAAAGGCUUUCUGAUAAAGUGUGAAAGGCCAGUGGAUGUAACUUCAGUCAUCACCCCAUCCCUGAAACUCAGUGUAACCCGACAUUUAUCCACUUGAUAAAUAAACUUUCAGAGAAUAGCA